rnacentral:rRNA from 1 species
UACGGAGGAUGCGAGCGUUAUCCGGAUUUAUUGGGUUUAAAGGGUGCGUAGGCGGGCAUUUAAGCCGGCGGUCAAAUGUCGGGGCUCAACCCCGGCCUGCCGUCGGAACUGGGUGCCUUGAGUGGGCGAGAAGUAUGCGGAAUGCGUGGUGUAGCGGUGAAAUGCUUAGAUAUCAGGAGGAACAUCGGUGGCGUAAGCGCUUUACUGGGCCGUAAUUGACGCUGAGGAACGAAAGCCAGGGUAGCAAAUGGG